GAUGAACGCUGGCGGCGUGCCUAAUACAUGCAAGUCGAGCGAACAGAUAAGGAGCUUGCUCCUUUGACGUUAGCGGCGGACGGGUGAGUAACACGUGGGUAACCUUCCUAUAAGACUGGGAUAACUUCGGGAAACCGGAGCUAAUACCGGAUAACAUUUGGAACCGCAUGGUUCUAAAGUGAAAGAUGGUUUUGCUAUCACUUAUAGAUGGACCCGCGCCGUAUUAGCUAGUUGGUAAGGUAACGGCUUACCAAGGCGACGAUACGUAGCCGACCUGAGAGGGUGAUCGGCCACACUGGAACUGAGACACGGUCCAGACUCCUACGGGAGGCAGCAGUAGGGAAUCUUCCGCAAUGGGCGAAAGCCUGACGGAGCAACGCCGCGUGAGUGAUGAAGGGUUUCGGCUCGUAAAACUCUGUUAUUAGGGAAGAACAAAUGUGUAAGUAACUGUGCACGUCUUGACGGUACCUAAUCAGAAAGCCACGGCUAACUACGUG
rnacentral:rRNA from 1 species